UACGAAGGGGGCUAGCGUUGUUCGGAUUUACUGGGCGUAAAGCGCACGUAGGCGGAUCGUUAAGUCAGGGGUGAAAUCCUGGAGCUCAACUCCAGAACUGCCUUUGAUACUGGUAGUCUCGAGUCCGGAAGAGGUGAGUGGAAUUCCGAGUGUAGAGGUGAAAUUCGUAGAUAUUCGGAAGAACACCAGUGGCGAAGGCGGCUCACUGGCCGGUACUGACGCUGAGGUGCGAAAGCGUGGGGAGCAAACAGGG
rnacentral:rRNA from 1 species